rnacentral:rRNA from 1 species
UACGAAGGGGGCGAGCGUUGUUCGGAAUCACUGGGCGUAAAGGGCGCGUAGGCGGCCGAUCAAGUCAGAUGUGAAAGUCCUGGGCUUAACCUGGGGACUGCAUUUGAUACUGAUUGGCUUGAAUUCGGGAGAGGAUAGCGGAAUUCCCAGUGUAGAGGUGAAAUUCGUAGAUAUUGGGAAGAACACCGGUGGCGAAGGCGGCUAUCUGGACCGACAUUGACGCUGAUGCGCGAAAGCGUGGGGAGCAAACAGG